rnacentral:rRNA from 1 species
UACAGAGGUCUCAAGCGUUGUUCGGAUUCAUUGGGCGUAAAGGGUGCGUAGGUGGCGCGGUAAGUCGGGUGUGAAAUUUCGGAGCUUAACUCCGAAACUGCAUUCGAUACUGCCGUGCUUGAGGACUGGAGAGGAGACUGGAAUUUACGGUGCAGCAGUGAAAUGCGUAGAGAUCGUAAGGAAGACCAGUGGCGAAGGCGGGUCUCUGGACAGUUCCUGACACUGAGGCACGAAGGCCAGGGGAGCAAACGGG